UUGACGAAACUCUUUGACAAACUCGACAAACACAUACAGCCACUUUUGACAGCUUCGUCAAAAAGCACUUUCACAUCCACUCUCAAAACAAGCUUCAAAAUCCAACAGGAUUCCAUGGAUGUCCGUCAUUUCGAGUUCGGGACUAAAAACAAAAACAAAACUCGCCACAUCCAUCCGAGCUGCCGUCGCGAGUGCACGCGAAUUCUUGCGGUCCGUGUUAAAAAGUUGGAAUAAUUCGGUUCGUCGGUUUGUUCCGGUCGGAAUCUGUGCACUAAUCUGCUCCGCAGAGUGUUUGUUUGUUGAGUGGCAAAUUACUUAAGACGCGGAAGAUCUCGGGGCCAUAAAAGGUGCUGAUUGUUUUGUUGCCUCUUUGAAGGAUGAUAAGAAAGCUUAUUAGCUUACAGAAGCUGCUCCGAGAAGUGUGGCCUGUUGAGAGGGUUCCCCACCCUCGGUCAUAAAGUGCCCCCGUGGGAACCGGGUCCAGCUGGCUGUGAAAUCGUGAAAAGAUCCAGUUCAAUCCGGAUUGGUCGAAAGUGUCGUUCCGCCGACGACGACCAUUUUCUCUACAGAGCAGGUCGUUGACAGCUGUGUGUGCCACAAAGUGGCCGCGUUCACAAAUUCGGAGUUCCCCAGAUUACUCAAAAUUGGAGAGGAUUCUGUGUCCCUAAUCAGCCAGCCCCCUCCCAGUUUCGGUGUGCGAGUAGAAAGAGAACACACGUAGCAGAGAAAACGCAGAGGAGAAGGAGGACACUGCUGCCGCUGCGAGGGGUUUUAUGUAACAACGGCCGCGAUGGUUCGACACAUAUGCUGCUGCUGCUGCUGCUUGCAGUAGUAGUGCAGAUUAUGCCAACAGUUCAUGUUGCAGUGCAAGUGAGGUGUAUUAAAGCCAGGCUUGAAAGUUACGCGAAUUUGGCCAAAACGGCGAUGAAUGAAUUUGCCAAGUGAGAGCCAAUUUGGUGUGACCCAUUUGUGUGUGUGUGUGUCGAUCGAUUCCGAACGAAAAUUGUGGAAGGUCAUCCUCGUGUGGAAGCUGCCAAAUUGAUUCGUUUAGCGUGAACACAGUGAAGAUUCGGCGAAUGAUUCUGGGUAAAGUUUGAGCGUCGCGACGCACCCGUGCCCGUGCGAGAUGUUGUUUAGAGAAGAGUUAAGCUAGUGUGAGGGUCGUCGGUUGAUGGUGUGUUAAAAAUACCCUCCUGCCUG